rnacentral:rRNA from 1 species
GCUUGUCUCAAAGAUUAAGCCAUGCAUGUCUAAGUAUAAAUGUUAUACAGUGAAACUGCGAAUGGCUCAUUAAAACAGUUAUAGUUUAUUUGAUAAUCGAAUUUACAUGGAUACCUGUGGUAAUUCUAGAGCUAAUACAUGCUAAAAACCCCGACUUCGGGAGGGGUGUAUUUAUUAGAUAAAAAACCAAUGCCCCUCGGGGCUCCUUGGUGAAUCAUAAUAACUUAACGAAUCGCAUGGCCUUGCGCCGGCGAUGGUUCAUUCAAAUUUCUGCCCUAUCAACUUUCGAUGGUAGGAUAGUGGCCUACCAUGGUGGCAACGGGUAACGGGGAAUUAGGGUUCGAUUCCGGAGAGGGAGCCUGAGAAACGGCUACCACAUCCAAGGAAGGCAGCAGG